rnacentral:rRNA from 1 species
GAUGAACGCUGGCGGCGUGCCUAAUACAUGCAAGUCGAGCGAACAGACGAGGAGCUUGCUCCUCUGACGUUAGCGGCGGACGGGUGAGUAACACGUGGAUAACCUACCUAUAAGACUGGGAUAACUUCGGGAAACCGGAGCUAAUACCGGAUAAUAUAUUGAACCGCAUGGUUCAAUAGUGAAAGACGGUUUUGCUGUCACUUAUAGAUGGAUCCGCGCCGCAUUAGCUAGUUGGUAAGGUAACGGCUUACCAAGGCGACGAUGCGUAGCCGACCUGAGAGGGUGAUCGGCCACACUGGAACUGAGCCACGGUCCAGACUCCUACGGGAGGCAGCAGUAGGGAAUCUUCCGCAAUGGGCGAAAGCCUGACGGAGCAACGCCGCGUGAGUGAUGAAGGUCUUCGGAUCGUAAAACUCUGUUAUUAGGGAAGAACAAAUGUGUAAGUAACUAUGCACGUCUUGACGGUACCUAAUCAGAAAGCCACGGCUAACUACGUG